rnacentral:rRNA from 1 species
UACGAGGGGGCAAGCGUUGUUCGGAAUCAUUGGGCGUAAAGGGUGUGUAGGUGGCUAUGUAAGUCAGGUGUGAAAGCCCUGGGCUCAACCCGGGAAGUGCAUCUGAUACUGCGUAGCUUGAGUACCGAAGAGGAUAGUGGAAUUCCAGGUGUAGUGGUGAAAUACGUAGAUAUCGGAGGAACACCGGUGGCGAAGGCGGCUAUCUGGUCGAGUACUGA